rnacentral:rRNA from 1 species
CGGCGUGCCUAACACAUGCAAGUCGAGCGGAGUCGGUAAGAGGAAGUUUCGGAUGGAAUCUUAUGAUUAGCGGCGGACGGGUGAGUAACGCGUGAGCGACCAACCUUGCACAGGGGGAUAACGGACCGAAAGGUUCACUAAUACCGCAUGAGACCACGGUGUUGCAUGACACAGAGGUCAAAGGAGCAAUCCGGUGCAAGACGGGCUCGCGUCCGAUUAGGUAGUUGGAGGGUAACGGCCCACCAAGCCUAUGAUCGGUAGCCGACCUGAGAGGGUGAUCGGCCACAUUGGAACUGAGAUACGGUCCAAACUCCUACGGGAGGCAGCAGUGGGGAAUAUUGGGCAAUGGGGGGAAACCCUGACCCAGCAACGCCGCGUGAAGGAAGAAGGUUUUCGGAUUGUAAACUUCUGUCCUUGGUGAAGAGAAGAAGACGGUAGCCAAGGAGGAAGCCCCGGCUAACUACGUGCCAGCCGCCGC